AACGAACGCUGGCGGCAUGCCUAACACAUGCAAGUCGAACGAGACCUUCGGGUCUAGUGGCGAACGGGUGCGUAACGCGUGGGAACCUUCCCUUAGGUUCGGAAUAACUCCCCGAAAGGGGUGCUAAUACCGGAUAAUUUCUUCGGACCAAAGAUUUAUCGCAUUUGGAUGGGCCCGCGUUGGAUUAGCUAGUUGGUAGGGUAAAAGCCUACCAAGGCGACGAUCCAUAGCUGGUCUGAGAGGAUGAUCAGCCACACUGGGACUGAGACACGGCCCAGACUCCUACGGGAGGCAGCAGUGGGGAAUAUUGGACGAUGGGCGAAAGCCUGAUCCAGCAAUGCCGCGUGAGUGAUGAAGGCCUUAGGGUUGUAAAGCUCUUUUAACCGGGAUGAUAAUGACAGUACCGGGAGAAUAAGCGCCGGCUAACUCCGUG
rnacentral:rRNA from 1 species